AGAGCACUCCUACGGGAGGCAGCAGUGGGGAAUAUUGCACAAUGGGGAAACCCUGAUGCAGCCAUGCCGCGUGUGUGAAGAAGGCCUUCGGGUUGUAAAGCACUUUCAGCGAGGAGGAAAGGGUGUGUGCUAAUACCAUACAUCUGUGACGUUACUCGCAGAAGAAGCACCGGCUAACUCCGUGCCAGCAGCCGCGGUAAUACGGAGGGGGCUAGCGUUGUUCGGAAUUACUGGGCGUAAAGCGCACGUAGGCGGAUUGGUAAGUUGGGGGUGAAAUCCCGGGGCUCAACCCGAAACUGCCUCCAAAACUCCCAGUCUUGAGGUCGAGAGAGGUGAGUGGAAUUCCGAGUGUAGAGGUGAAAUUCGUAGAUAUUCGGAGGAACACCAGUGGCGAAGGCGGCUCACUGGCUCGAUACUGACGCUGAGGUGCGAAAGCGUGGGGGAGCAAACAGGAUUAGAUACCCUGGUAG
rnacentral:rRNA from 1 species